UUCACCGAGAGCGGAGGGAGGAAGCGCGGCACCAACAGCAGCUCCGUUGCUUUGGACCCUCUCAUCCAAAAGAGGGCUGAAGGUAUGCCUCGACAUACGGUUGUGACACUUUGAAAAUCUGGACACGGGCUGGGAAUUACUGAAAAGAAAACGGACCAGCGCGGCGCGGAGCUGAAGGCAUUCGGUGUGAACAGCUUAGCGCACAGGUUUCCCUUGUGAUCCCUGGCAGAGUGAGGACAGUAAUACUGACUCGGCCAUUGUCUCAUCACUGGUUCCGGACACAGCGAGGCUCCCCGAGUGCCUUGCCUGUCCAUUGUGACUAGAGAAGAAACGAAAGAUCCAGCUUGUCUGCAUAAAGACCUAUUCAGCAUCAUUCUUCUUUGCCAGCCACCUUUGUCACACCGGGAACAAGAGUGAAGUCUCAGCACUAUCCUUAACGCCUAGCCUUUUCCUCCAUCCUCUGUCCCUUCGCUUUGAACGCCCUUAUCCCCAUCCCGCUUCCCCAAACCCCUUUCCCACUCCCCAGCCCCAGUUUCAGCCCCAUUUGGAAUCCCAGAUGACUGCUCAGAAACAUCCGUUACCCUCCCACUCCACACAAGCCUUCUUUCCUCUCCCUCCAGCCCCCGUGGCGCUUGGCACCAAUGCCCAUCACAUAGACAGAUGGAGCCAACCCUGACCCCUCUCUUUGCCCGUGGGGACGCCAAGAGAAUCAACGCCUGACUAGAGGAGAGGAGGGCGGGUGCGAGUGUAAAGGGGGAGACAGGAAGUACAGUAUUGCUUUGUCACCAAGGCAACACAUCGUCCAGUCUCCCAUGGACUCCCCUUCAGUCCAUCCUGAGGCCCUUGGAUAAUAAAAAAAAUGCACACAGCAGGAAAUUCAGCAGCAGGAGCAGAAGGAUCUUUUUUUUUUCCUCUAAGUUUUUCCUGACAUAUUUUUGCUUUGAUUAUUUGGCACAGAUACUUUGUUCUACAACAUUGGAAAAAAAAAUUAAAUAUAACAAACAUCAUUUCAAAGAAAGCAAAUGAACCACAAAUACUGAAGUAAAGGCUGUCUAAAGUGUUUCUGAAUACCACCCGACAAGUUUGGUUUGGUGCCCCAAACUUCUUCUUCCUUCCAGUCUGCGUGAUCCAAAUGAAUUAAUAAAAGCUGCAACUGCCUGGCAAACAAUAUUUCAGUUUUUUUUUAACAGGAAACAAGCCACUUUUCAUUGUGCUGUGCUUACCUGAAUAAAACAGAUGUUUUUUUUUCUCUAUGACAGUCAAAAGGAAACACACGCUGGACUCCAGUCAGAGCUUCCUUGGAUGUUAAUGUAUGCUUUUAUCUGCUGCAAAAUACACCAUCCUGCAUUACACCUUUGCCAACCACUCAAACAUCCACUUCAUUUUGGGACGAUUGCACUUUCAUUCCCCUGACUAAUCAUCCCACCUGAAUCCCUGCAUUUUUUUUUCCCGACAAUAAGCAAGAUUUUGCCUACUCUACUUUCCUUGGAUGUUGUUGCUCUCUUCUAUCGUACUCUGCUGACCGGCACUCUGAUUAGCAUACAGUAUCCCGACAACCAAACUUUAAAAAGAGCCACUCAUCAACAGUAAAACGAGGCACUAAUGGAUGGUGAAAUGAAUUCAGCUGGCCAGCAUAACAGAGGCGGGAAUACCGGAGUCCCAAAGCUUCCCAGGUGACUGCUACCAAACUGCAAAACCAAGCUGACAAUUUUGUCACUUUCUGGAUUCUUUGCUUCAGAAACUAAUGCAGUAAGGACCGUUGGGAUCCAUCUCUGUAUCCAGUGUUAACUACAAGAAUUU